GAGUUUGAUCCUGGCUCAGGACGAACGCUGGCGGCGCGCUUAACACAUGCAAGUCGUACGGAGUCACUCUUUCGGGGGUGGCUCAGUGGCGAACGGGUGCGUAACACGUGAGCAAUCUGCCCGGACGGGGGGGAUAACUGGGGGAAACCCCAGCUAAUACCGCAUAGGCGCGGGGCCCGAGUGGGUCCGGCGUGAAAGCCUUUGGGCCCGUCUGGAGGAGCUCGCGGCGUAUCAGCUAGUUGGUGGGGUAACGGCCCACCAAGGCGACGACGCGUAGCUGAUCUGAGAGGAUGAUCAGCCACAUUGGGACUGAGAUACGGCCCAGACUCCUACGGGAGGCAGCAGUGGGGAAUCUUGCGCAAUGGGCGAAAGCCUGACGCAGCGACGCCGUGUGCGGGAGGACGCCCUUCGGGGUGUAAACCGCUGUCAGGGGGGACGAACACAUGACGGUACCCCCAGAGGAAGCACCGGCUAACUCCGUGCCAGCAGCCGCGGUAAUACGGAGG
rnacentral:rRNA from 1 species